rnacentral:rRNA from 1 species
CCUUGAAAUACCACCCUUUAAUGUUUGAUGUUCUAACGUUGACCCGUGAUCCGGGUUGCGGACAGUGUCUGGUGGGUAGUUUGACUGGGGCGGUCUCCUCCUAAAGAGUAACGGAGGAGCACGAAGGUUGGCUAAUCCUGGUCGGACAUCAGGAGGUUAGUGCAAUGGCAUAAGCCAGCUUGACUGCGAGCGUGACGGCGCGAGCAGGUGCGAAAGCAGGUCAUAGUGAUCCGGUGGUUCUGAAUGGAAGGGCCAUCGCUCAACGGAUAAAAGGUACUCCGGGGAUAACAGGCUGAUACCGCCCAAGAGUUCAUAUCGACGGCGGUGUUUGGCACCUCGAUGUCGGCUCAUCACAUCCUGGGGCUGAAGUAGGUCCCAAGGGUAUGGCUGUUCGCCAUUUAAAGUGGUACGCGAGCUGGGUUUAGAACGUCGUGAGACAGUUCGGUCCCUAUCUGCCGUGGGCGCUGGAGAA